AUACGGAGGGGGCUAGCGUUGUUCGGAAUUACUGGGCGUAAAGCGCGCGUAGGCGGCCUGUCAAGUUGGGUGUGAAAGCCCGGGGCUCAACCCCGGAAUUGCAUUCAAAACUGGCAAGCUAGAGACCGAGAGAGGUGAGUGGAAUUUCCAGUGUAGAGGUGAAAUUCGUAGAUAUUAGGAAGAACACCAGUGGCGAAGGCGGCUCACUGGCUCGAUACUGACGCUGAGGUGCGAAAGCGUGGGGAGCAAACAGGAUUAGAUACCCCAGUAGUCC
rnacentral:rRNA from 1 species